ensembl:rRNA 5S_rRNA 5S ribosomal RNA
GUCUGCAACCAUCCCUGCACACCAUCCUGAACAUGGCCUGCCUUGUUGGACUUUGGAAGCUAAGUAUGGUGGGGCCUGGUUAGUGCUUGACUGGGAAACUGCCUGUGAAUACUGGUGCUGUAGGCU